GGGUGGCCCAACAUGGCCCCUGGGGUCCAGCCUUACAGUUACCAUUUUCUUUGCACAUCUUUCCUUUUUUCGCAUCUCAGAUCUUCCAUUUGUAAUUAAGGAAUUACAGCCCUGCCUAAGGACAGAUAACGUCAUUGGUGCUGGCCAGAAAAUUCCCAACUGCUGGUUAAGAUCACAUUUCUGGGGAAGGUGGAAACUGCAGGCGGCGGCGAGGUCUGGCGCACUAAGCGCAGGCGGAGGCGAGAGGAGCUAGCCCAUGUCCAAAGUCAAGGGCAGCGGCCUAGAGUGCCAGGCUGCGACAGCACAGGAACGGCGGAGAGGAGCUACCCUAUGUCCAAGGUCAGGGGCGGCAGCCGAGAGGAGCUACCCCACCUCUGAGUUUAACUAUCAGAAGACAACUCUACCUCCCUCCUUCAUAGAGUUUACAUCCCACCCACCCCCACCAAGUGCUGCUGGUUUUCACCCCAAUAAUGC
ensembl:lncRNA